rnacentral:lncRNA from 1 species
GUCCUGUGUUCAAUCCCCAGUACAAGGAGAGGGAGGGGGACCUGAUUCCAACAGAGCUGGAGCAGAGAGGCAGAGUGUCAACAAGGGAUGGGAAGCUGGGAACAAAAGGAACAUCGCCUUCUGUCCUGAACAGCUGGAAACUUGUCCCCGAAGCAAUAGUGAGCUAUGGCAGGAUUUAGAAUGAGGGGGAGCCAGAUAGAACCUGAAGGUCUCUGAGGGAAGGGUGGCUUGUGGUCCAGACUGGAGAGUGGCUGGGCUCGUAGCAAGGCGACUGUGGCUUGCUUACUUGGCCUGGCCCUGGGGGCCAUAAAGGAGGAAAGAGCACUGUGCUCCUCUGAGAAUCAGGGCCCCUGAAUCUGGAAGGUACUGGGGAGGGGGAGGGGAGGGAGGAGGGAGGCGCUCGCUCUAUCUAUCGUCUGAAAGGGCACUGAGGGUAGAGAGAUCGGGACUCUGGAUAAAGAAGCUCCUAGAAGCCGGGCGUGGUGCCACACCUGUCAUCCCAGCACUCAGGAGGCUGAGGCAGGAGGAUCGCUGCGAGUUCGAGGCCAGCCUGGGCUACAUAGUGAGUUCAAGAGCAGCCUGGACUACACAACGAGACCCUGUCUCAAGAAACAAAAACCAAACCAAAAGAACCCAGAGAAGCUCCCAGAAGUUGCAGCGUGGAAGGGGGCACACAGGCCCCACAGGGACCAAGACACUCUCGGCCCCUACACACCCUGGAGAGGGAGACCAAGAAACAGAACAACCCAAAGAUAAGCAUAAUCAUUUCAAAAAGAUACUGCGCCUUCCCAAAGCUGGGGUGGCAGCCCUCACCUGAGUUCAAGGCCAGCCUGGGCAACAUAGUGAGACUCUUGUCUCAGACAACCCAAAACACAGGCGCACACCUGUCAUCCCAGCACUCGGGAGGCUGAGGCAGGAGGAUGGCUGUGAGUUUGAGGCCAGCCUGAGCAAUAUACAGAGUUCAGGGCCAGCCUGAACUACAUAGUGAGAACCUAUCUCAAAAAAAAAAAAAAAAAAAAAAAAAGAAAUUCUAAAUAAAUAAAAAAUACCCUCCCAGGAGCAGGGAAGAGAUACAGAACAAGAUGGCGGUUCAAAAUAAUGGCUUGGGAGGAGUGGCUCCAAUUGGUGGCUAGGAGCAAAGGCCCCUUCCGAGGAGGGGACAUUUGGGCUCAGACCUGAAUGAGAAAAAGCCAGGGAAAGGGCUCAGGAAGUGCAAAG